rnacentral:misc_RNA from 1 species
UUUCUUUUUUUUUCCAAUUUUUUAUAUAAAUAUAUAUUUUUUUUGUUUUCUUUGAAGGGUUAUGCAUGUUUUUCAAGUAAUUAUUGGUGCUGGGGAUCAGUCUCUAUUUCAUGAGCCAAUUCCCUUGUCAACUUGUCAGCACGAUCAUCGUGUCCACCAGCAAAGGAAUAAACUCGGAAUGCAAACUGAAAUGCUCUCCAUAGCAUUUUAGCAUUAGCUUUAUUAGGGUUUGCUGUUCUUGCUUGUCUCCUCUCCUGAAUAAAUCCAAAAAGAAAGAAAAGAAGGCAACUCUAAUGUCAACCAAUUUUCCAAAUGAUCAUGACAUCUACCUCACAACAAAAUGUUAAUUCAACAACCUUGAGUGCUAGUUCCAUGCAGUUGGAGGAAACAUCCACCAGUGAUUCCUUGAUUUGCACAAUGAUAUGGAAGUCAAAGUGAAUAUUAUGACUUUGAAAUUUCUUGGAUUCUUCAUCUUUGGUUCUUUCCAAGGCAUCCAUUUCUCCUUUGAUCUGAGUUGCCCCAAGGGAGUUAUGAUCUUCCAAUUUUGAAGUUCAUAUGCUAUUCCAUUCAGCUUUGAGUAUAGUGCAGCUGCUGUCCUCAAUGCUUCCAACUUUUUUUGAGGGAAACCUUGAAACCUUGCAAGCACCUGUGACAUAGAGAAUCGCUGGUCUGAUUAUGGAAUAGAACCUUUAAGCAGUAGUGGAACCAAACUGAACAAUCUUCUGUUAUUAGUUAUUACCUGUGUUUCAUCCGUUAACUGCUCAAGGACGGACUCAACUUGUUUGUGGAACUUUAUCAGCUCAGUCAUGUCCUUAUUUUUGAAAGUAAUGAUGACAGUCUUCAGCUCUGUGAUCGCCUUUGCAUACUUUUGAACAUCUUCUCUAAUUUUUUGGAAAUAUGCUGAUCUGAAACACAAAGAAGGGAAUUUAGUGGAAUUUAUAGCGUUCCUGAGAUAAAAGUUAAUUUAAAUGGAUCAUAAUCUAUUUUUGAGAGUUCUUUAAUGAGUAAACCUCUUUGUCAUCUCUGCUAGUGCAUCAGCCAUUCCUUGCUUUCCGCCAUUGCUGGAUGGAGCUGAACCCUUUCUUCCAAUGGCUGAUCUAAUGUUUUGAUUUCCUCCUUCCACCUUCCCCUUGAGAAUCCGAUACAAAUUACCCAUUUGGCUUGAUCUCCUUAAUUUUGUCUGUGCCUUCUUGGGGCGUAAGGAUCUUGCUGCACCAGGUGGAGGUGGUGGUGGAGCAGCUCCAUUU